rnacentral:tRNA from 1 species
GUUCCCGUAGUUGAAUCACAACGGUGGUUUUUCAAGUCAUUGGUCUCGGUUGGAGUCCGGGCGGGAAUU